rnacentral:rRNA from 1 species
CCUACGGGAGGCAGCAGUGAGGAAUAGUGGUCAAUGGGCGCGAGCCUGAACCAGCCAAGUAGCGUGAGGGAAGACGGUCCUAUGGAUUGUAAACAUCUUUUGUCGGGGAGCAAAAGACGCCACGCGUGGCGUUCCGAGAGUACCUGAAGAAAAAGCAUCGGCUAACUCCGUGCCAGCAGCCGCGGUAAUACGGAGGAUGCGAGCGUUAUCCGGAUUUAUUGGGUUAAAGGGGGGCGUAGGCGGAAGGUUAAGACAGCGGUAAAAUUUCGGUGCUCAACACCGGCCUGCCGUUGAAACUGGUCUUCUUGAGUGAGCGAGAGGUAUGCGGAAUGCGUGGUGUAGCGGUGAAAUGCAUAGAUAUCACGCAGAACUCCGAUUGCGAAGGCAGCAUACCGGCGCUCAACUGACGCUGAGGCACGAAAGCGUGGGGAUCGAACAGGAUUAGAUACCCUUGUAGUC